rnacentral:rRNA from 1 species
GACGAACGCUGGCGGCGUGCUUAACACAUGCAAGUCGAACGAAGUGGCGAACGGGGGAGUAAUACGUGGGUAACCCGCCCUCCUUUUUGGGAUAAGCCUUGGGAACGGGGUCUAAUACCGAAUAAAGGGGGAUGGGGUCGCGGCCUAUCAGCUUGGUGGUGGGAUGGUGGCCUGACAAGGCGGUGACGGGCAGACGGCCUGAGAGGGUAACCGGGCACAGUGGGACGGUCAAAACGCCCAGGGGCGGACGGGGUGGAGCAUUGGGGGAUAUUGCACAAAGGGCGAAGGCCUGAUGCCGCGAGUAUGCGUGGGGGAUGAAGGCUUUCGGGUUGUAAACCUCGUUCGCAAUCGAUUGGGUAGGUGGAGAAGAAGCGCCGGCUAACUACGUGCCAGCAGCCGCGGUAAUAC